CCUACGGGAGGCAGCAGUCGGGACUCUUGCGCAAUGGAGGAAACUCUGACGCAGUGACGCCGCGUGAAGGAAGAAGGUUUUCGGAUUGUACACUUCUUUAGACAGGGAAGAAAAAAGACAGUACCUGUAGAAUAAGCUCCGGCUAACUACGUGCCAGCAGCCGCGGUAAUACGUAGGGAGCAAGCGUUAUCCGGUUUUAUUGGGUGUAAGGGGUGGUUAUACGGAGAAGCAAGUUUGUUGUGAAAUCCCUCGGCUUAACUGAGGAACUGCCACUAAAACUACUUCCCUUGAGUACUGGAGAGGAAAGCGGAAUUCCUAGUGUAGCGGUGAAAUGCGUAGAUAUUAGGAGGAACACCAGUGGCGAAGGCGACUUUCUGGACAGUAACUGACGUGGAGGCACGAAAGUGUGGGGAGCAAACAGGAUUAGAUACCCGAGUAGUC
rnacentral:rRNA from 1 species